rnacentral:rRNA from 1 species
AACCUGAUGCAGCGACGCCGCGUGAGUGAAGAAGGUCUUCGGAUUGUAAAGCUCUGUCCUUAGGGACGAAGAUGACGGGACCUGGCAGAGGAAGCCCCGGCUAACUACGUGCCAGCAGCCCCCGGAAUUAUACGUGCCAGCAGCCGCGGUAAUUA